GGUAAAAUGGCUGAGUAAGUAUUAGACUGUAAAUCUAAAGACAGAGUUGAAUCCCCUUUUUGCAA
rnacentral:tRNA from 1 species